rnacentral:tRNA from 1 species
GCCUUCGUAGUGUAGUAGUCAGCACGCCCGGGGCGUAUUCGAGAUGUCCGCGGUUCGAAUCCUGGCGAGGGCA